GUCUUGCUGCUACCCACAUCCUGGUCACUUCCAAGGCCUUCCAUACCCAUUCCAUAUGGAACCAGCCUUUACGCCACGGUAAACACCAAUUCUCACUACAACUUCACAUCUCCGUACAAUCAUACGUUCUUCCACCUCCAACACACCACACCACAACAUCAUCGCCUCUCAGAGCCUGUAAUCACCAUUCUGGAACAACACCCAUAGAUAUCACCACCGCAAUCAUCUCUUCUCAAAGCCCAUAGCACCACAGCGCCUCAGCUCACGGAGCACCACACACCUCUAUCCGCAUCGAACCACACAUCUCUAUCUGCAUGGCAGACGCCGCCGACGCAAGCCCCAUUACGCCAGCACCGACGAACACCAAGUAGUACUCCCUCUACCCUAAUAGCUUUCUGUAAAAUAAAAGAUAUUUUAUGAUUUAUUUUUUUAGAUAAGCUGAAAAGGUUAGAAAAAAAAUUAUAAAAAAGGUAUUUUUUUUUCAUUUUAAAUUUUAUUUGAACAAAAAAUUUCAAUAUUUUGGAAGUUACCUUAUUUUAACAAUAUUAUUUUAAGGUAGUAUUUUUUUUUUUAAAAAAAAAUUGUAUUUUAUAAUUUUAAAAUUAUAAAAAAGGUAUUUUUUUUCAUUUUAAAUUUUAUUUGAACAAAAAAUUUCAAUAUUUUGGAAGUUACCUUAUUUUAACAAUAUUAUUUUAAGGUAGUAUUUUGAAGAAAAAAAAAAUUCUAUUGGAGAAAAAUUUUAGAAAACCUAUCCAUGUAGUAAUUGAAAUUCACCGUUCAUACAUUUCUGUGAGGAUAUUUAUGUCAGCUAUGGAUGCAUUCAUUGCAUGGGGCCGGCAAGCAGAGACUGGUCCAAUUCUGUAUGUCCCAUUUUUUUUGUUUGAACUUGAAAUGGAGUACCAUCACACACAAAAUUUGUAUGUUUGAGAACUGAUCUUGGGGCUUUUUGUACAAUCACAACAAUUUUUUCUUUUUUUUUUUUAAAUAAAAACCAUUUUCCUAAAAGUUGUCUUUAGGCUAUGUUUGGUUCAAGAAAAUUUAAAUAAAAUAUAAGAAAGAAAAAAAAUAAAAAUAAAAAGACAGAAGAAAAUAAAAAGUUGAAAAAAAAAUCUAAAAUCAAUAAAAAAUAUUUUUUAUUUAUUUAAUUUUUUAAUAUAAAAAUUAAAUAAUUUAAAAAUAUAUAAAUUUUUUAAUAAUUUUAUUCAUAUUUAAAUUUCUUUUAUGUUUUUCAUAUUAAAACGAAAUAUGAAAAAAUAUAUUUUUUAAAUAUAUUUUUUUCUUCCAUUAGUACUUUUUGAAUCAAAUAUAGCAUUAAGCUAAAUAGAGCUUACUAGAAUUUAGUAUAAGAAAUAAUUUAAUACAUUAAUAUUAAAUUGGGUGUCUCACAUUCAUAACCAUUUUUAAUUUUAAGCCUUAGUUUGACUAGGAGAUUAUUUUCAAAAUAUUGAUAAACAUGCAUUUAACCUUUGACCAAUUAAUUAGAAAGCAUUGUUUUGUGUUUUAAAGAAAUAUAGUCAUUCAGUUGAGCACAUAUACAUUUUAUGGUGCUCGAUGAGUUGGAUGAGAUGAAUUAGAAAAUUAUAUUGCAAUAAUUCGUUUAAAAUGGUAGAUAUUAUGCAAUCGUGUAGGUUUGAUUUCUUAGGAUCUUAGCAAAAAUGCAUUUGAAAGAAUGAGAUAUGAUUAAGGGUUUUGAAAUUGGUUGCAUUUGAGGAAUGGCUUGUUUUCAUUAGUUGAUUAUAUUAGUUGUAGAAAAUGAGUCUUUUUUUAUGGGUGCUUUGGUGAUUAGGGACCUUUUAUUCUCAGCCUUACAACAUGUGUGUUUUGAAAUUGGCAGGUCCAUGGCAAGUAGAGUUUCUGCUGAUCGAUUUGAUACUUGUGUUUGGUAUGGGCCGGAUGGUAGGGCAUCAAGUGAAAGGAAUAAUUCAUUUCAAAGCGGAUCACUCAGGAUACCAAGGGUUCCAGUGACUUUGAGAUAUAUUUUGAAUUACCCUCGAUGGAUUAAACCAAAUGUGAUUUCAAUCGGUCCUUACUACUAUGGUGAUAAGUAUCUCCAAGAAGUGCAAAAGCUCAAGUAUCAACAUGCCGAGAACUUCAUACGUGAAAGUCAACAACAAAUAAAUGAGUUGUACCAAAAAAUUGAAAAUGAGAUCGACGACCUAGCAAUGUGUUAUGAUUCUUAUCAAGCAACAUCGGAAGAUGACAAAAAGAAACUGGCCACGAUAUUCUUGUUGGAUGGGUGUUUUUUACUACGUUUCAUUUACUACAGCAACAAGGAGGAUGGGAUCAACGCUUUGAAUUUUACAAAUCAUGAUGUGACUUAUAUAAGACAAGACUUGUUCUUGUUAGAGAACCAACUUCCCUAUCAAGUUCUCAAGCUGUUGUUCGAACAUGCCAAUUUUGAGGCAGAGUCGAAAGAUUUUUCAAUGGAAGAGAUGAUAAAAGAUUUUGUCAUAUCUCACAUCCCCUUGCCUCGAGGAAAAUCGGAAAGAGAAACAUCGGAAAGAGGAAAAAUAGAUGAGCCUUGCCAUCUCCUUCACCUUUUGCAACGUGCAGUUUUAGGCCAAUUGGAAACAAAUCACCCACAACAAAAAGAGGAUGAAGCUGGAGGGAAAAAAGCAACGUGAGAGACAAUGUCCCCCUAAAGGAGGAAUUAGAAAGUUGUUGAGGCGACUCCCUGCUUUACUCCCCCACAACAAAGAAGGCAAAGUACAAAGGAAAUCCAUUCGUCACUCGUUCAAAAACGCCCAACAACUUACAAUAGUGGGCAUCCGUUUUAAGCCCAAUGAGACGGGUCAUUUGGGAGAUAUUUCUUUCACUUCUGAUUGCUCUGGCAUUACUGGAUGCCUUAGGCUUCCUCCAAUCACCAUUGACACCUCAACUAUGAUAAUUUUCUUAAACUUGAUAGCCUUCGAAUCCUCAAAUACCCCCAACGACCUUGGCGUAAUCUCUUACCUAUGCUUCCUGGACUCACUCAUUGAUCAUUGGGACGACGUUAAAGAGCUUCAGGCAGCCCAAGUACUCCAUAACUUUUUGGGUGACCAAAGAGAAGUGGCCAAAUUUUUCAACCACGUAUGCGGCAAAUUGGUACCAAAUUCUAAUGCUUAUAAAAAUGUGAAACUACAAAUUCAAAAGCAUAUUGAAAGUCACUACAAGAGCAAAUUGCGGAUAUGGUUGCUUCAAUGCAAGCAUACCUAUUUUAGUAGUCCCUGGAGUAUCAUUGCGUUGUUUGCUGCAUUUUUAGGACUACUCCUUACUGCUAUUCAAGCCUACACUUCACUUGCCUGAAGCUGAUAAGUUGCUUCUUAGUAUCCUAUUAUCCCCGCCUUGUCAGGUAAGAUACUUGCACUCAAUGUUUGUUUGCUUUUCUUCACUUUCUAUGUGGCCCACAAAAUUGCUCUUCAUGUAAGGGGUCCUAGCUUUAGAGUUAAUCCGUUCACCUCAUAUGGUUGUACAGACGUCAUCUAAUGUGCUCAUGUAGUCUAUCAUUUAUGCUUAUCUUAUGAGGAAAGUGUGUCUUAAUGUUUGAUUUGAAAAUAUAUGCAAAAUGAUUACCAUCUUUUCACAUCUCAAACCAUGAUUUCAAAAUAUUUGUUAAUUCAAGUGCUUUUAGAUCAAAAGUAGUAAUAAGGUACUAUCUUUUAACGAUAUAUGUACUACAUUUGACUUAAAUGGAAACUAUUAGAUCGUGCUUUUACACCCAAACACACUUUUCUUUAUCUUAUUUUGGUGUCUUUUAUCCUUUUGCAAUGGACUUUAAAAAUAGUGUGGAGAAAAAAAAAUGGUGUAUUUAACAUUCUCUUUUUAUGCGUCCAUGAUUACGGAUAAUUUGUAAUUAAAUGAAUGAAAUAUAGACAAUGAUAGCAUGUUUCAUUUCCAUAAGAUUAUAAAACAUUUAGGUUUUAAUUUAGAAAUUAUUUCUAUCAAAGACCUUUUAUUUAAGUCUUUGGUGUUUUUCUCCUUUUUUAUUUUUUAUACAUUAGUUGAUAAUUGUUGAUUUAUCAUAAAAUGGGUAUAAACAAAAUUUCCUUAUCAACUCAAAAAUGCUUUAGAAUUUUCUUGCCAACUCAAAAGUGCUCUAUAGUUUCUAUUAGGUAUGCAAUAAUGUUGGUCCCUAGAAAAAAUAAUGGUUGAAAAUGACCUUGGGAUGAGUGUGUAAGGUCGGAGAUGGUUAGACACCAUUAUAUAAACUUGGGAUGAGUCAUGGGUCACUAAUAGCUCAUUGGUUUUGAGAUGAGGAUGACUAAAUCUUUGAUCCUAACAAGUGGUAUCAAAAUUAGGUUGUGGGUUCAAGUUGUAAGAGCCCCAAUGUUAAGUAUAACAACUAAGCUCUAAUAUCAUGAAGAAAAUUUCUUAUUGGAAGCAUAUAUCAAUGCUUUAGACGUGAAUUCAUCACAUUAUAAACACAAAUAAUAGGAAUAGAGGGUAGAGAUUACACCACAUUUGUAACGACCCGCGUCCAAUCAUGUAGAUAUUGUCCAUUUUGGUCCCUCAGGCUUUAAAACGCGUCUAUUUGGUUAAGUGGAGCCUCUACAUAUAUAGCACCAGGAACUUCCUCCCCUAUCCGAUGUGGGACAUCACAAAUACCUCCCUUAUGCAGACACAACGUCCUCGUUGUGUCCCAUGGGAUUGAGGGGUUAAACAAACAAACACCCCUUACAAGGCCAAACAAACCCUCACACUGGGGUCAGGGAUUGGUUUUGAUACCAUUUGUAACGACCUGCUCCCAACCGUGUAGAUAUUGUCCACUUUCAACCCAAAUGGUAUCAAAGCCAAUCCUUGAGAGCCCAUCAGAUAGGGGAGGAAGUUCCUGACGCUAUAUAUGUAGAAACUCCUCUUAACCAAGUAGACUCGUUUUAAAGCCGUGAGAGCCCAUUUGGGUUCAAAGCGAACAAUAUCCACAAUUGUGAUGUCCCACAUCGGAUAGGGGAGGAAGUUCCUGACGCUAUAUAUGUAGAGACUUCUUUUAACCAAGUAGACGCAUUUUAAAGCCGUGAGAGCCCAUUUGGGUCCAAAGCGGAUAAUAUCUACACGGUUGGGAACAGGUUGUUACAAAUUAAUGCGGUUAUUAUUUUUGUAGAAAUAAAUUUUUAUAUGAUGUAACGCCCAAGUUUUUUUUUAAAGGGAAAUUUAGGAAAAUAUUAAUAAUAUUAAAUUAAUUAUUUAUUUAUUUUAAUAAAAUGGAAGAAUGGUGAAAAGGUAAUUUUAUGAAUAAAUACCUUAGAUAUAAAUUAGAAUUUUGUUCUUCUUGUUCUUUUCUGAAUCGCGUUCUUGUUCGCAAAGAGUUCCUGAUAACGUAAGAUUGAAGUCGGAUUUUAGGGUUUGAAAAACAGAUCUCUAUAGGUAAGAUUCUAACCCCUAGAUUAAUAUUCUAAAUUCCUUAGUUAAUUUCAAAUACAUUAGAUAUUUUUUGGAAAAUCCAAAUCUAGGUUAGGGUUUGUUUAUUUAACUUUUAGAUCAAAAUGUUUAAAAAUUUGCAAGUAUAGGUUGAUUUAUUGAUGAAGAUAGGAAAAUUUCAAAAAGUUCAAUGGAAUAGAAAAAUAAAUAAAUAAAUUUAAAAUGAAAAAAAAAAUCAAAGGAAGAAAAUAAAUUUUAAAUUUAUAUAAUAAAUAAAUAAGUCGUUUGUGGAGGCGUUAGAUUGAAAGGAAAAUAAAUAAAUAAUAGGAAGAAUUACAUGAUUUCUGGAUUUUGGAGGACUGAUAUAGAUACUUGUAUUUGUUGUAUUGAGACAUUGUAGUUGUGUACACGUUGCUGGAAAAAAAAACGUGUUAGGGUUAAGAAAAAAAACAAAAAAAAACAGUGUGCAUUGGAUGGAAGGAAGACCUUGGAAAAAACAAAAAAACAAAAUAUAUAUAUAUAAAUAAAUAAUGAAUCAUCGUAAUAAUGAUGAUAGCAAUAGGAAGUACUUGCUUUGCUUUAUUGGUUUUGUGUGUACCGAGACAAAUGGGGGGAAUGGUUUGGGUGGCUAUUGAAUUUGAUAAUUAAUAAAAUAAUAGUAUUUAGUUUUAAAUUAAUAAAUAAGAUAAUAGUAAUAAUGGUUUAUUGUAAUAAAUAGAAUGAGAGGUUUAGUAAAAAAAAAAAUUAUAUAGAAUUUUUAUAAUGAAAUAAAAUUGCAAUUUAAUUAAAUUAGUAAUGUGUUAUUAGAAACAAAUUGGGAAUUUAUUAAUUUUAUUUAAAUAAGGAAUAAAUUAGUUAAAUUAUAGAUAAAUAGUAAUAGUUAUUUCUCUUAUGUUAUAUUAGGCGAAGAGUAGAUUUUCUACAAUUAUUUUUCUCCCAAGUUUUCAAGGAUUUCUUUGAGGUAAGAGAAAUUAAUGCAGUUGUUUUUUUUAGAAACAAAUUUUUAUAUACAUCAUUUGGAAACGUUUUAAGUUAUUAUUUGUUUUAUGCAUAGAUCAAAUAUGUUUUGCAUGGAAAAUAUGUUUGAACCUUACAUUUUGUUUAUAAGAGAGAAAUGUUAAGAUAUUAUGUUUUAGAAAUUUGAAUAAUUGAAAUAAGUGUUUGACUCUGGUUUGUUUGACCUUUAUCAACGGGAUAUAAUAGUUGACUUUUGACUUUUUGGCCCUUAUCAACGGGAUAUAAUAGUUGACCUUUAUAUUUUUUGGUGGGGAAUGUUGAUUUGGACCAAGCCUUUAAGGGUUUGGUUAGAAGUUAUUAGUACUAGUAGUGUUCGGUUCCGUCCACCUUAAAGGAACAAUUUGAGGCUAGCCACCUAUUUGAAAAGUCUCACCUAACUGGGCACUAUUUGAUGUUUGAUGACUAGAGCAAAUAAAUGAUUUGAAUGUUAUGAUUGAAUUUGAUAUGAAAAUGUUUGAAUUAGAAAUGAAAGUGUACAAUUAAAAGUUUUGAGUGUGUUGGCAAAACUGACUCAAAGGUUUAUGAAAAUAAUUAGUUAUAAUAUAUCCUAUUUUGCAAGUGAACUUGAAAUAUUUGAUCCAUGGACUGCAUUAAUGUUCCUUAUUGCGCUUUGAGCUCAUUUCUAUUUGUUGAUUACUUUUCAGGCACCCUUAGCUCGGGUGAGGAGUGAUGACUACGUCAGGGAAUGGUCAUCAUUAAGAUUUUGCUUAGGAUGUUAUUUGGACAUUAUAAGCUUAUGAGUUUAUGUUCCUUUGGAUUAUUUGGUUUUUGGAAGCUAUUUAGAUAUUGAGCUUUUAAAUAUUUUUUUUGAUAAGUUUGAAGUUGAGAUUUGGAGAUUAUGGAAAUUUGUUAGCACUUGAUUUAUUUGAGCUUGCAAUCUAUUUGGAUAAUGGAUUUUGGUUGAUGGAUGCUUAGUUUUAAAGUUAAGUUUGAAGAUUUUAGAAUUUUGUUCCGCUACUCUGAACAGGUUUUUGGUAAUUGGUUACUUCUAGUUAUAAUAUGAUUGUUUGAAUCAGGUUACACUUUAAGCCUUCGGGUUUGAAGUGUGAAAUGAUCAUCACGCCCUUUGAGUGGGUCUUGGGGCGUGACAACAUUCCUAAAUGGUUGAUAAAAAAACAUCUACAUUCAACUUUGAGCCCUAGAAUCAAGUCUAGGAAAAAAAAAAGGAAUUUACUAUGAGAACAUGAGUGUUAUAAAAAAAGGGAAUUGAUUGAUUAAAAUAAUACUUGUUGAAAAGAAUAUUAAGGAUAGAGGUGUAACUUGCUUAGAUUGGAUCGACUUAAUCUGAAUCCAACUUGAUGCUUGGGUUGACUUGGGCAAACUUUUUCAAUACUUGGAUUGAGUUUGGGUUAAAUUUUCUCAAUCUGAACUCAAUUUGGGUUUUGUUUGAGCCAAAAUUCGGACAAUCUGAGUUUAACCCAAGCCUAAUUUAAUCUUUUUUAUAAUAUUUAUAAUGUUUAUUAUUUAGUAUAAUAAUAUUCAUUUUUUUUAGAUUUUAAAAGAAAAAAAUUAAAUUGUAAUUAUAUCAUAUAUAUUUUUUAGAAAAAUACAUUAGUUUAUUUUACUUUUUUAAUGUUAUAUUGAAGUUUUGUCUUAUUUACAGUUUAAGUUUUAGUAUAAAUAUAUAAAGGAUUUUGAAUUAUGCAGCUCAAUUAACCAGACUAACCUGAGUUUAAUAUGAUCAACUCAAGUUGAACUGACCAACUCUAGUUGAACUGGCCAAUUCGAGUUUAACUGACCAACUCGAGUUUAACUGACCAACUUGAGUUUAACUUGACCAACUCGAGUUUAACUUGACCAACUUGAAUUCAAUCCAAGUUUAGAAAAAUGAAGUUAGAUUAGGCUUGGGUUGAAUACCUUAAGUAAGAGGUAGGGUUGGAUUGAGCUUGGGUUGAGGUUGAGUCGAUUAUUUCUUAAUUCGGGUUGAACACAAAUUAGUUAUCAACCUAACCAAUCUACUCAAGUUGCACAUCUAAUUAUGAAUAAUAAUAUUAAUAUAAAAAAUUAUUAAAAAUAUCAAAUUAUAAUUUUUAAUAAAUAACAAAUAGUAUUUUUUUUAUCUAUAUUAUGUUAUUAAGUUUUUCAAGAUUAAGGUAAUGUUUGUUUUUUAGCUGAAUAGAAAAAAUAAAAAUAUUUGAAUUUUUUUAUUUAGUUAAAAGUAAUUCGUUAAUAUCAACCAAUAUAACAAAUUUGAAGCUAUUGAUAACAAGUUCACUUUAAUUAUAUUGGUUGAUAACAAGACAUCAAUUAUAGAAGAAAGGAUUAAUCGAUCCCGAAGUAGAUUAAGGUAGUAGGCAUCCAAUUUAAGCCUAGUGAGACGAGUUACUUGACAAACAUUUCUUUUACUUCUCAUUUCUUUCGCAUCAUUAGAUGCCUUAGACUUUUUUCAAUCACCAUUGCAUCUUGAUCUUGAUUCUUAUCUCUCUUUCCUAUUAUCUUAUUUUGAUUAGAUAGCUUUAUUUUGUCUUUCACACAUUGAUUUACCCAAAUUAUUUAUGUUUUAACUGUGCAAAUCACAAGUAUUGGGAUAUUUUGUUGGAUCUUGAUGAAUAUUUUGAUUCCCAACAUGUGUGUGGAUGAUUAGGUUUAGACAAGCGUGAUUGAGAGUUAUGUAAACUCCAUUUGAGAGUUUUAGGGGAUUUAUGUAACUUGUUUGUCACAAAAUUACCAAAUGAAAGAUUGUUAUGACAUUUAGUUCUUGUAUUUAUUUUGUUGACAAUUUUAUUCUUUUUCAUUUUGGUGAAGGAAAUUUUUUAGAUAGUGAUUUACUCUUUAUAAAAGAUUUGAGGUUGUUGUUUGUUCAAUUGGAAAGUCAUAGGUAAGUUGAAAAAGGUUUAUUUAGUAACAAGUUAGGAUUUUUCUUAAAGGAUUGAGUUGGAUCAAUAACUUUUCUAAACUAAAUUAUUAAUAUUAUUUUUUUCUAAAAAAAUUCAGGGGUAGUCAAGUGCUAGCAUUAGUGCUCAAGCGCUCCCACUGCUCAAGCACCUAUCUAAGUGUUCAAGUGCCUAAGGCGCUUGAGUAAUCGAUAAAUGGGCUCGAGCGACCUUCCAAAUCUGCUAGAAUAUGGUAGAUCGAGUUUUUGAAAAUAAAAGAUUUAUUCUUUUUUAGAAAAUUUAGAACCAAUCCUCUAGGUCUUAGGACUUAUAUAAACUUUUCUUAAAUCUAUUUUUGGUUGGAUAUUUUGAGAGAAUCAAUCUUAACUUAUCCUAUCAUUCACAAACUCUCUCGAGACCUCAUUAAUCAAAUUCUGUAUUGUUGGAACUUGAAAGGAUCUGUAUCCCUUCAGAGGAUGAGGUGAACCCAUUGGAGCAUUAGAUAUUGCGUCAUGAAUGUGCAUAAUGAAAAGUUAAAAUUAUUUUAAUUAAAUUAUGAUAAUUUUUUUAAGAGAAACAUUAUCUAAAUCAAUUUUUAAGUUGACUUUAAAAAAAGAAAAAUAUUAUUUGAAUUAAUUAAAUAAAAUAAUGAUAGGAUGCAUAUAUAAGUGAAAUGAUAGAGGUAAUUUUAGGAUUAAAAAAAAAAGUUGGCAAAGACUUUAAUAUUUCAUAUGUAGUAUAGAUAUAAACAUGCCAAAAUGGGAAAGCUACUAGAGACUAAUCACACAUUUUAUUAAACUUUUUAGAUAAGAGAAUAGAAGGAAUUAAAAUAAAGUGUUUAUUAAAAAGACCUUGAAAAUAGAAUGAAAAUGAAAAAUAAUUAAUUUUAAGUUACUAGAAGGACUCAUCUUAAAUAAUUACUUUUUUUUAUAAAAAAAAUUAUAUUAAUAUCACCUUGCUUAUAAUUCAUUUUAAAAUACAUAUAAAUAUAGAAAAUGAGCUUAAAUAUCUAAUUGUUCAAAUGUUUAUUAAAAAUAAAAAAUAAAAUUCUAGUAAUUUUAGUAUUUCCCAUUUUAAAAGAAAUUAACUAGGUAACAAUGAAAUGCCUUAAUUUUAUCAAUUGUGUCUGCAAAUGUUUAAGAUUGAUUUUCAAUGAGUAAUAAAUUUUUUAAGGAGAAGGAAGCUUUUCAAAAGUUUUACAAUCAUUACAUAUGGCAAUAAAAAUGGAAUGAGGUGCUAAUGUAAAAUAAAAAAAUACUAAAUUUUUUUAUUACUUUCUAUUUAAUUUUAAUUGUAUUUGAUAUUAAAUAUUUAAUUGUGUAAGUAUUUAUAAAAAAUAAAAAUAAAUGAAAUCCAAGCAACUAUGAUCUAAUUUUUACUUUAGAUUUUUAAGUUUGUUUUAUUUAUUUUUAAAUAUAAAAAUAAGAAUUGAAAAUGAAAUAUUAGAUGGUAGGUACAUGUAAUUUUGGCAGUGGGAAGAGAAGAAUCGGUGAUGUUGGGAUGAUAUUUUUACCCAACCUUUUGUGUUUACAGAAUCAAAAGGGGUUUCUUAAGCAUCUAAGAAAUCGUUUCUCAUUCUCGUGCGAUUAGCCCUUUUUCUCUUUAAUUCCUAAAUGCAAGUAAACAAGUGGGAUAAAUAUAGGCAUUAAUUUCAUUAAGAUCUUUUAUGGUUUGAUGUAAAUACAAUCACAUUGAUUUUCGAUUUUAUUUAUAAACAUUUUCAUAAAUUUAUUCUAUUAAUAAAACUUAUUAUUUAGAAAUAAUUGAAGUAAAAUGGAUUUUCAAUAAAUCUAUUUAACAAUUCUUUAAAAAUUAUUUUUUAUCCUCCAAAAAAUAAAUUUUAUAUAUAAAAUACAUUUAUAAAAAUGUUAAUAACCAAAUUUAGAAUCUAAUAAUAAUUAAGUACAUUCAAAAUUAGCUUAUAAAAUAAGCAUUUUUAAGUAUAUGUAAGAAAAUCGUCUCUCUUCACUUUUGUGAGUAUAACCUUAUUCUUUUAUUAAUUCCUUGUUGGAAGUAAACAAAACGAGUCUUUUAUUAAUUCCUUAUUACAAGUAAACAAAUCAAAUAGGUGAAUGAUCAUUUUGUUUCAUUAAUUGCUUAUUGCAAGUUGUGAAUUGCAAUUUGCAAGUUGUGACAAGGGAUUAAUAAAACAAAAUGAUGGAUCAAAAAAAAAAAAAAAGAUAAUAAAGAAGAAAUGGUUUGUUCAAACACAUCUAAUGAAACACUUUUGCAUUCUGAAAAAUACAGAAAUUUGAGUUACAUAAAUUGAUACAAAUUUUAAAUUAAAAAAGAAAAAGAAAAAAUUCCUUACCCUAAUUAAAACACAAUUUUGUCUGUUACUAAACUAUAUCACAGGUGCAUUAGCUUUAGUGUCUCACAUUUAUAGCCAUUUGGAAUUUUAAACCUUAUUACCUUAGUUUGACUUAGUAGAUUAUUAUUAUUAUUAUUAUUUAAAAAAAAGAGUAAUCCACAAGGAAAGUGAGGCAUUUAUUUGGAAUUUUAAACCUCAAUUUGAUUUAAUAAAUUAUUUUUUCCACAAAGGAAAAUGCUAGGCAUUUUAUAGAUUAUAACCAUUUGGAGUUUUAAACCUUAGUUUGACUUUGUCGAAUUUAUUUUAUUUUAUUUUUCACAAGGAAAAUGUAGGCAUUUAUUUUAAACAAUAGUUUGACUUAAUAGAUUAUUAUUAUUAUUAUUAUUAUUAUUUCACAAGGAAAAUGUCAGGCAUUUAUAACCAUUUGGAGUUUUAAACCCUAGUUUGACUUAGUAGAUGCACUUAUUAUUCCCCUCUGAUGGAAAAUAUGAGGAUGCGUGUACACUAAUCGUCCUUUGAUUGAGGUUAGCCCUCCAAUAAUUGAUAGGUAGCACCAUUGAAAUUAAGGCUUGCUUCCCCGUUUCUAUUCAAAUUUCCAAUACUUGCGGUACGUAAUCAUAUUUAUUUUCAUUUUACCAUUCUUUUAUAUAUAUAACUCAUCAUUGCAGCCAACACUUAUUAUUAUAAAAAUGAUGUAAAUAUUGGAGUCAGGUAUGCAGAGUGCUGCUUCUCACUGACGUAAGGAAAGGAGGUGGCCUCAAUGACGUGAGGAAAGGUGGUGUCAAUGGAAGAAAAGUGAUUUUCUUAUCCACUCUCAGCAAGUCAGAGAUGAGAAGGAUGAAAUAAAGAAAAAAAAGGGGGAAUGGAGAAGAAAAGUAACAGGCCGGGAUUUCUCCACAUGCCCUUAGGUUUAUUUUAUUUCACCACAUUCCGUUGGGUUUAUUUUAUUAUCCACUUGAGAGAUCCGCUUCUUCCUUCCAUAUAUACAUACGCACAUUCUGGACCUCCCUCACCAAGCUCCCAAAGUCAACGCCGGAACCCAGCCUACAGCAGACCUCCAUCUCAACACCCAACACGUAAGCACCCACGACCCUCAACUCCACCACAUCGACAGCACCCUCCGCACCCAUCCUGACCUUCACAGUCUUGCUGCUACCCACGGCCUUCCAUACCCACCCCAUAUGGAACCAGCCUUCACGCCGCGGUAAACACCAAUCCUCACAUACAACUUCAGAUCUCCAUACAAUCAUACGGUCUUCCACCUCCACCAGACCACAGCAUCAUCACCUCUCAGAGCCCGUAAUCACCAUUCUGGAACAAC
rnacentral:lncRNA from 1 species